GUUUCCUAUACACUUCAGUAGGUGGGAGAGAGGAGAGGCUGUGUCUACACUCAGUGUUGUGACCUAUGAACUACGAUUGAUUUGUAGCCUAACAUU
rnacentral:snoRNA from 1 species